rnacentral:rRNA from 1 species
UACUUAGGGUGCGAGCGUUAUUCGGAAUUACUGGGCGUAAAGCGUGCGCAGGCGGUCUGUUAAGACCGAUGUGAAAUCCCCGGGCUUAACCUGGGAACUGCAUUGGUGACUGGCAGGCUUUGAGUGUGGCAGAGGGAGGUAGAAUUCCACGUGUAGCAGUUAAAUGCGUAGAGAUGUGGAGGAAUACCGAUGGCGAAGGCAGCCUCCUGGGCCAACACUGACGCUCAUGCACGAAGGCCAGGGGAGCAAACGGG